CGGGGAGAGGGGGGCAGAAGGAGAAGGAGCGGGCGGCACAUCCCACCCGUCACCCGCUGCGGGGUGUCGGGUCAGGGCACGGGCACCCCACAGCCCGGCGAGCCACGAGCAGGGGUGAUGUGGGAUGCUGGGACGCCGGGACAUUGGGACACUCGGACAUUGGGACACCGGGAUGCUGGGACGCAGCACCCCACGGGACGCCCCGAGCAUCCUCGGGGCAGAGCGGCACGCGCGGGCAGGGACGGAGGCCUUAUUUGGUAGCACGGCGGCUCCGCGCACCCCGCUCGCGGCCCUCGUCCCCAGCCCUCGCCAGCUCGACCCCGGCUGGGGACAGCCAGGGUGGGAAGUGGGGACACGGAGGGCGGCCGCGGUGGGACCCUUCCCAGCGCCAACUCCUCGCCCAUCGCUGCCCCACCGCCGGCACACGCGGGGCACCAAACCAGCGUGGGGACAGCACCCGGGCACGUGGGCGAGCCGUGGGUCAGCCCCAUGGGCGAGGGUCCAGCCCCACGGGCGAGGAUCCGGCGUGGCGGAGGUCCCCCCGCGGCGGCGGGCAGCCAAGCAGCUAAUCCGCUGGUAGAAAAUUAAAGCGAGCCGGGCUGCAAGGCGGCCGGGGGUUGAAGUAGGUGAUUAAAUGCCUGGUGAAUGAGUCACCCGGCUCCUCCUGCCUCUCCCCGCCGUUCCCCUUCCUGUUAAAGUUUACCGGAGGAGGUUUGCGCAGGGGCAGGGGACCGUGACCGCUCCGGCCAUCGCGCAGGGCACCCGGUGCCCUCGGGGGCGGACGAGGAUGGCGAGUGCUGCUCUCGCUGCCGCCGUCCUUUGGGAGGUGAGGACCCUCUUCGUCAGCGGCCUGCCCCUGGACAUCAAGCCCCGGGAGCUCUACCUGCUCUUCAGGCCCUUCAAGGGCUACGAGGGCUCGCUCAUAAAGCUCACCUCGAAGCAGCCCGUGGGGUUCGUCAGCUUUGACAGCCGCUCGGAGGCCGAGGCUGCCAAGAACGCGCUGAACGGCAUCCGCUUCGACCCCGAGAUCCCCCAGACGCUGCGGCUGGAGUUCGCCAAGGCCAACACCAAGAUGGCCAAGAGCAAGCUGGUGGGCACCCCCAACCCCAGCACACCCCUCCCCAACGCCGUACCUCAGUUCAUCGCCAGAGAGCCCUACGAGCUCACAGUGCCUGCACUUUACCCCAGUAGCCCUGAAGUGUGGGGGCCGUACCCCCUGUACCCGGCGGAGUUAGCGCCCGCUCUACCUCCUCCUGCUUUCACCUACCCCGCUUCGCUGCACGCCCAGAUGCGCUGGCUCCCUCCCUCCGAGGCUGGUUCUCAGGGCUGGAAGUCCCGUCAGUUCUGCUGAAUGCCAUGUCUCAGGUGUGUGAUGGCGGCCGACAGUCAGUCUUGUGGGUAUGAACGGAGCCUGCCGCCGCGGCUGCUGGGCGCGCGCUCUCCACAAAACCGCAGUGUGCUGGCUUGAAAAAAGAAAAACAAAACAAAACAAACCUCGCACAAGUUUGGAUUCCUCCAAGACUUUCCCACAGCCUCUAUCACACAUCUGCUCUCCUAGAAGAAAGCGAAAAGCAUACCUAGUAAUAAUAUUUCCCUCUUUUACACUGUAUAUUUGUAAGAAGGAGUGUGUUAUUUCUGAAAGCAUGGUUUGACAGGCAGUGCUGUAGCGUUUGAAAAGUAUUUUCAAACAACCAUAGGAAAGCAGACUACAAAAAAAGGAAAGCGAGAGAGCAAGUAUUUUUGUACCAAACCUUCCGAACAGGACAAUCUUACACUGGGUUGGACCACGUCUUUUGUGCUCGACUUCCGACUCGGCGUCCUUAGGAGUGUGCCCCCCCCGCCGCCAGCUGCACGGCGAAGGCGUGACUUUGUGGUCCGUGCAGACGCCGAGGCGCGUGGCUCGAGGCGGUGGGGCGCGUGCUGCCCUGGCACGGCCCGCCGGGGAUCGGUGUGCUCCGGCUGUGUCAGCACGGCCUCCGUGUGCACUGACAGUAUUAGGGUUUUCUUCCCAGUCGUACCAAACACCACCAGGCAGGACAAUCAGGAACUUCCUUACGACGUUUUUUUUUUACCUGAGGGCUCUGUUACUAGCUCGCUGUGCAAAGCUCCGGCACGGUACAACGCUCGCAUCAGGGACGGGCAGAGAGAGCCCACAUGUGUAGCAAGGUGAGAAUUUGCCUCCUCCUCCUGCCACGGCUGCUUGAAGUUGUUACGGGCAACGUAAACUGCUGUAUGAGACACCAACCUCUCCGUUCCCCCAGCUGACUGCACGUGCCUGCCGUUGUGCCACGGCGCCGGGCUGCCCCGGGCCUUCAGCGUCCGUGUGUCCGUGCAGGAGCAGAGAGAAGAAGGGAGGCAGCACGCGGGACGGCGAGCCAGCCAGCAAAGAGACUGCUUGGCGUGCUAGCCUCUCCUCCUCCUUGCUCCAGCAGGAAUUUGGAUAAGAAAGAGCAAAGCAAAACAAAACAAGAACUCCACCAGAUUUCGGUUUCUUGCAAAAGGAGGCGCAAACCCCGUCUCCUCCGACCGCCUGCUCCCCAAGCGGGAUUCCCAGCCUCUCUUCCUCCUUCCUCUGGUUUCGUGGGUGGGCUGCAACACCACGGCUGGGAAUUCAGCUGCUGGAGCCGUCCGGGGUGGGGGCGAGAUGGGGGGGAAAUGGGAAACUGUGCUGCUGGGGCUGUCUGUGAGCGCUGGGGCUGACAGCAGGGACUCGAGACCCAGGCGGCUCCGCGAGGAACGGCGCCCGCGGUCCCGGGUGAGGGACCGGUAACUCUUGUAGCAAACCGUUUCCUGUACUUUGUUCUGGGGAGGAGAGAGGAAAGGAGCUUCCAACGUUGUCUACUCCGCUUUUGGAACUAUGUUUAAAGGUACUUUUCUAUUGUAAUUUUUUAAAAAUAAAGCCAGUGAUUAUUAUAAGUUA